rnacentral:rRNA from 1 species
GGAUUCCUGGCUCGGGGUAACCGGUCCGCCUUGCAAAAGGUGCGCACUGAGUGGCCUCGGCCAUCCUUGGGAAGAGCGGUCCUGGCAUUCGGUUGUCGGGGUCGGGAUUCCCGACGUUUACUGUGAAAAAAUCAGAGUGUUCAACGCAGGCUUACGCCUUGAAUACAUUAGCAUGGAAUAAUGAGAUAGGACCUUGGCGGUCUAUUUUGUUGGUUUGCACGCCGAGGUAAUGAUUAAAAGGGACGGUUGGGGUUCUUCGUAUUCAAUUGUCAGAGGUGAAAUUCUUGGAUUUAUGGAAGACGAACUGCUGCGAAAGCGU